rnacentral:rRNA from 1 species
GAUGAACGCUGGCGGCGUGCCUAAUACAUGCAAGUCGAGCGAACAGACGAGGAGCUUGCUCCUUUGACGUUAGCGGCGGACGGGUGAUUAACACGUGGGUAACCUACCUAUAAGACUGGGAUAACUUCGGGAAACCGGAGCUACUACCGGAUGAUAUUUCGACCCGCAUUGUUCGAUCGUGAAAGAUGGCUUUUCUAUCACUUAUAGAUGGACCUGCGCCGUAUUAGCUAGUUGGUAAGGUAACGGCUUACCAAGGCAACGAUACGUAGCCGACCUGAGAGGGUGAUCGGCCACACUGGAACUGAGACACGGUCCAGACUCCUACGGGAGGCAGCAGUAGGGAAUCUUCCGCGAUGGGCGAAAGCCUGACGGAGCAACGCCGCGUGAGUGAUGAAGGUCUUCGGAUCGUAAAACUCUGUUAUUAGGGAAGAAUAAACGUGUAAGUAACUGUGCACGUCUUGACGGUACCUAAGCAGAAAGCCACGGCUAACUACGUG